rnacentral:rRNA from 1 species
CCUACGGGAGGCAGCAGUGGGGAAUCUUGCGCAAUGGGCGAAAGCCUGACGCAGCCAUGCCGCGUGAAUGAUGAAGGUCUUAGGAUUGUAAAAUUCUUUCACCGAGGACGAUAAUGACGGUACUCGGAGAAGAAGCCCCGGCUAACUUCGUGCCAGCAGCCGCGGUAAUACGAAGGGGGCUAGCGUUGCUCGGAAUUACUGGGCGUAAAGGGAGCGUAGGCGGAUAGUUUAGUCAGAGGUGAAAGCCCAGGGCUCAACCUUGGAAUUGCCUUUGAUACUGGCUAUCUUGAGUACGGAAGAGGUAUGUGGAACUCCGAGUGUAGAGGUGAAAUUCGUAGAUAUUCGGAAGAACACCAGUGGCGAAGGCGACAUACUGGUCCGUUACUGACGCUGAGGCUCGAAAGCGUGGGGAGCAAACAGGAUUAGAUACCCUGGUAGUCCACGCUGUAAACGAUGAGUGCUAGUUGUCGGCAUGCAUGCAUGUCGGUGACGCAGCUACGACAUAAGACACUCCGCCGUCGGGGAGGUACGGUCGCGAAGAAGUUAAAACUUAAAUAGUAAGUUAGACGGCGUGAGACGUGCCGACGGACGACGACGAGGGAGGAGG